rnacentral:rRNA from 1 species
AUUGAACGCUGGCGGCAGGCUUAACACAUGCAAGUCGAGCGAGCGGCGGACGGGUGGGUAAUGUCUGGGAAACUGCCUGAUGGAGGGGGAUAACUACUGGAAACGGUAGCUAAUACCGCAUACCAUCAGAUGUGCCCAUAUGGGAUUAGCUAGUAGGUGGGGUAAUGGCUCACCUAGGCGACGAUCCCUAGCUGGUCUGAGAGGAUGACCAGGCACACUGGAACUGAGAAACGGCCCAGACUCGUACGGUAGGCAGCAGUGGGGAAUAUUGCAAAAUGGGCGAAAGCCUGAGGCAGCAAUGCCGCGUGUGUGAUGAAGGCCUUCGGGUUGUAAAGCACUUUCAGCGAGGAGGCGUUACUCGCAGAAGAAGCCCCGGCUAACUCCGUGCCAGCAGGCGCGGUUAAUUC